rnacentral:lncRNA from 1 species
CAUUCAUUCCUUCUUAAUAUGAUUGAUUGAUUAUGAAUCACUUAGACCUAGCCGGGUGAGAUUGUGUGAACCUUCCAUUGUUUAUAUAUUUGAGAGCCAACAAUUGUGUUUAACUCUGUUGAUUUUAACUGAAUCUUGCUAUUACUUGAUGUGUUUGAAGUCAUGGAAAUGAUCAAGACCAUGUUUCUUUUUGAGUGAUAACUACUUAAGCCAAAACAACCUACCUUGUGAGUUGUGUGAUCCUUUGCUACCCCCUUGAGCCAAAAUUUUAAAAUUUUGUUUGAUUUUGAACCCUUGAACCACAAUAAAGAAAAACAAUGACUUAACCUUUGUCUUAGGAUGAUUGAGCAUUGAAUUUAAGUAGGGUUGAAAACAAGUUGGGGAGAAAGAGGUUAUUUGUUUGAGUGAAAAAAAAAAUGAAGAAAGAAGUAGUUGAAAAAUAUGAGAUGUUGAAGAUGGUGAUUGAAAAAGAAAAAGAAAAACAUUGAAAGUCAUUUGACACACAAAUGAAAAUCAAAGAAAAUGUGUUACAAAAGAAAAAGAAAUGAAUAGAAAUUGUGUCAAAACAAAAGAAUCACCAAAAGUAAAGAAUGGGGAAAGUGAAAGAGGAUGAAUAGCUUAUGUAA